rnacentral:lncRNA from 1 species
AGAAUUUAACAAACUACCAAACUAACUAACUACCAUAAAUUAUUAUAAAUGCAUAAUGCUCUUAACAAUAUAGCAAAGCUACCAAAUUCUUUAAGAAUUUAACAAGUAGUUGUGGUUCUUGCGGUGCUUGUGACUGUGACCGCCAUUAGGAUGAAGCACGUGUACCCGUUGCUGAAGAAGUUUUAGGCUCAAAGCCUCUCACAUGCCCCCUACGAGUACCCAACACCUUCUUAAAUAUUGCGAUCCAAUAAAUGGUGUCUGGAUCACCACCGGAGUCGGCUAUGUGAUGAGUUUGUAGAGCAACCUCAGCAACUAAGGCAUUCUAUAUUUCACAAGGCUUUGGCAUUGUUGUUUGUACUGAACACAAGAAACAGCCUUCCAAUAAAUGAAACUUAUUCCAAAUUCUAUUAUGCAUUUUCAAUUUUUUAUUAUAAAUGUGAGGGGUAAUUUAACUAUGUGUCUCAAGAUAUGUGUUGUUUAAUAGAAAGACAUAGUUGUUGCAUAACAAAAAACGUAACCUUUAGCGACGACAAAAAGCAUCGCAAUUGAUGCCCCUGGACGUCGCUAAUACCUUUAGCGACGACAUGUUGUCGCUAUUACCUCGUAGCUAAUACUCUUUUUUCGUCGCAAAUAGUGUCGCCUCUGAUAUACGUUGUUGCUAAAUGGUUAAUCUCGUUGUUGUUGGUGUCGUCUCUAUUGGUAUUCCGGCCACCGGUUAGUGUUUCUCCUGCUACACUUCCCGGAACCGGUUGUCAUCAGAAUUGGAUCAUUGUCGUCCCUAAAUAUGUGGCUGCUAAUGGUUUUUUUUUUGAAAAAAAUAAUUUAUUUAUGAUAUUGGUUUUUAUAUAUUAUAAAAUGCAGCUUUAAUAAAAAUACAUACGACAUUACAUAAAACAUCAAAUAUAUCAUAUUACAUAAACUAUCUAAUAUAUCCCAAAUACACAUCUAAUAUAUCAUCCAUAAACUAUCUAAUAAAUCCAAAAUAACACCAUCCACAAAGGGUCAAAACAAGAAAUACUAUGUGUCUGCGUCUUCGUCAGCGUUCUUUUCUUCAUUAUUGAUGUGGCUUUUAAACAAACAAAUAAUGUCUCCAAUGGUUGUCACAAACACCGGGUUUUGAAGAAAAGCAUUCACAUCAACAUCCUACAAUUAAUUCACAAGCACAUUAAGUCAUUAACUAUUAAUUAUUUAACAAACUAUCAAACCGUCAAACCACCAAAUGAAUUAUGUCGGUAACAAUUUAAAAAACUAUUAAGCCACCAAAUCAGCUAAGUCUUUAAGCAUUUAACAAACUACCAAACUACCAUAAAUUACUAUAAAUGCUUGAUGCUCUUAACAAUAUAGCAAAGUUACCAAAUUCUUUAAGAAUUUAACAAGUAAUUGUGUUGCUUGCGGUGCUUGUGACUAUGACUGUCAUUGGGAUGAAGCACGUGUACCCGUUGCUGAAGAAGGUUUAGGCUCAAUGUCUCUCACAUGCCCCCUACGAGUACCCAACACCUUCUUAAAUAUUGCGAUCCAAUAAAUGGUGUCUGGAUCACCACCGGAGUCGGCUAUGUGAUGAGUUUGUAGAGCAACCUCAGCAACUAAAGCAUUAUAUAUUUCACGAGGCUUUGGCAUUGUUGUUUGUACUAAACACAAGAAAUAGCCUUCCAAUAAAUGAAACUUAUUCCAAAUUCUAUUAUGCAUUUUCAAUUUUUUAUUAUAAAUGUGAGGGGUAAUUUAACUAUGUGUCUCAAGAUGUGUGUUGUGUAAUAGAAAUACAUAGUUGUUGCAUAACAAAAAACAUAACCUUUAGCGAUGACAAAAAGCAUCGCAAUUGAUGCCCCUGGACGUCGCUAAUACCUUUAGCGACGACAUGUUGUCGCUAUUACCUCGUAGCUAAUACUCUUUUGUCGUCGGAAAUAGUGUCGCCUCUGAUAUACGUUGUUGCUAAAUGGUUAAUCUCAUUGUUGUUGGUGUCGUCUCUAUUGGUAUCCCGGCACCGGUCAGAGUUUCUCCGGCUACACUUCCGGGAACCGGUUGUCAUCACAAUUGGAUCAUUGUCGUCCCUAAAUAUGUGGCUGCUAAUGGUUUUUUUUGGAAAAUAAUAAUUUAUUUAUGAUAUUGGUUUUUAUAUAUUAUAAAAUGCAUCUUUAAUAAAAAUACAUACCACAUUACAUAAAACAUCAAAUAUAUCAUAUUACAUAAACUAUCUAAUAUAUCCCAAAUACACAUCUAAUAUAUCAUAAAUAAACUAUCUAAUAAAUCCAUAAUAACACCAUCCAUAAAGGGUCAAAACAAGAAAUAUUAUGUGUCUGCGUCUUUGUCAUCGUUCUUUUCUUCAUUAUUGACGUGGCUAUUAAACAAGCGAAUAAUGUCUCCAAUGGUUUUCACAAACGCCAGGUUUUGAAGAAAAGCAUUCACAUCAACAUCCUACAAUUAAUUCACAAGCACAUUAAGUCAUUAACUAUUAAUUAUUUAACAAACGAUCAAACCAUCAAACCACCAAAUGAAUUAUGUCGGUAACAAUUUAAAAAACUACUAAGCCACCAAAUCAGUUAAGUCUUUAAGAAUUUAACAAACUACCAAACUAACUAACUACCAUAAAUUAUUAUAAAUGCAUAAUGCUCUUAACAAUAUAGCAAAGCUACCAAAUUCUUUAAGAAUUUAACAAGUAGUUGUGGUUCUUGCGGUGCUUGUGACUGUGACCGCCAUUAGGAUGAAGCACGUGUACCCGUUGCUGAAGAAGUUUUAGGCUCAAAGCCUCUCACAUGCCCCCUACGAGUACCCAACACCUUCUUAAAUAUUGCGAUCCAAUAAAUGGUGUCUGGAUCACCACCAGAGUCGGCUAUGUGAUGAGUUUGUAGAGCAACAUCAGCAACUAAAGCAUUAUAUAUUUCACGAGGCUUUGGCAUUGUUGUUUGUACUAAACACAAGAAAUAGCCUUCCAAUAAAUGAAACUUAUUCCAAAUUCUAUUAUGCAUUUUCAAUUUUUUAUUAUAAAUGUGAGGGGUAAUUUAACUAUGUGUCUCAAGAUGUGUGUUGUGUAAUAGAAAUACAUAGUUGUUGCAUAACAAAAAACAUAACCUUUAGCGAUGACAAAAAGCAU